GAUGAACGCUGGCGGCGUGCUUAACACAUGCAAGUCGAACGGAAAGGCUCCUGCUUGCAGGGGCACUCGAGUGGCGAACGGGUGAGUAACACGUGGGUGAUCUGCCCUGCACUUCGGGAUAAGCCUGGGAAACUGGGUCUAAUACCGGAUAGGACCAUCGUUUAGUGUCGGUGGUGGAAAGUUUUUUCGGUGUGGGAUGAGCUCGCGGCCUAUCAGCUUGUUGGUGGGGUAAUGGCCUACCAAGGCGUCGACGGGUAGCCGGCCUGAGAGGGUGUACGGCCACAUUGGGACUGAGAUACGGCCCAGACUCCUACGGGAGGCAGCAGUGGGGAAUAUUGCACAAUGGGCGCAAGCCUGAUGCAGCGACGCCGCGUGGGGGAUGACGGCCUUCGGGUUGUAAACUGCUUUCGCCAGGGACGAAGCGAAAGUGACGGUACCUGGUAAAGAAGCACCGGCUAACUACGUG
rnacentral:rRNA from 1 species